rnacentral:rRNA from 1 species
UAACGCGUAUGCAACCUACCUUUUACUGGGGGAUAGCCCGGAGAAAUCUGGAUUAAUACCCCAUGGUAUCUAUGGACCGAAUGGUUUGUAGCUUAAAGAUUUAUCGGUAAAAGAUGGGCAUGCGUCUGAUUAGCUAGUUGGCGGGGUAACGGCCCACCAAGGCGACGAUCAGUAGGGGUUCUGAGAGGAAGGUCCCCCA